AAUAGAUACCCCGGUAGUCCACGCCCUAAACGAUGUCUACUAGUUGUCGGGGGGGUAACUCCUUCGGUAACGCAGCUAACGCGUGAAGUAGACCGCCUGGGGAGUACGGUCGCAAGAUUAAAACUCAAAGGAAUUGACGGGGACCCGCACAAGCGGUGGAUGAUGUGGAUUAAUUCGAUGCAACGCGAAAAACCUUACCUACCCUUGACAUGCCACUAACGAAGCAGAGAUGCAUUAGGUGCCCGAAAGGGAAAGUGGACACAGGUGCUGCAUGGCUGUCGUCAGCUCGUGUCGUGAGAUGUUGGGUUAAGUCCCGCAACGAGCGCAACCCUUGCCAAUAGUUGCUACGAAAGGGCACUCUAUUGGGACUGCCGGUGACAAACCGGAGGAAGGUGGGGAUGACGUCAAGUCCUCAUGGCCCUUAUGGGUAGGGCUUCACACGUCAUACAAUGGCUGGUACAGAGGGUUGCCAACCCGGCGGGGGGGAGCCAAUCCCACAAAACCAGUCGUAGUCCGGAUUGCAGUCUGCAACUCGACUGCAUG
rnacentral:rRNA from 1 species